AGGUCACUUGAUCGAUCCUUGGCUGGGUCAAUAGGCCUUUCUGUGUGGAGUUUGCAUGUUCUCCCCGUGUUCGUGUGGGUUUCCUCCUGGUGCCCCGGUUUCCAAAGACGUGGUAAAGCACAGGAGCGAACCUUUCCUCGUUUUUAGGUCAAUUUGAAUACAAUUCAGAGGGGUGGCAUGGGGGUGCAGUGGGUAGUGCUGUCGCCUCACAGCAAGAUGGUC